ACACUAUACGCGCACAAACGCGCGCCGCUUAAGCUAGAGAUGUGAUAGCGAACGCGAAAUAGAAACUCAGUUGAGUUAGCGUUCCACCGCGACCGGUCGCCUCUCGAAUCGACUGAUUAGUGCAACGAAGGAAGUGCCUUUAGUGGAGUGUCAAAGUGUAUUUUUGGAAGUUUUUGGAAGUUUUACCAAACAAGUGCCUAGUAGUGUGUAUAUUUUUUAAGUGUUGACUGAAAAUAUAUCGUUUCACUAUGGAAUUAAGAAGAUUGGCCUUAUGCCUGGCGUUCCUGUUGGUCGCAGUUAUCUCACAUAGUUCAGGUACUGUCCCGGUGAUUUCCCGAAUCAUGGUCACCCGAACCUUAUUUAACACCAUUCGUCACGCACCACGCAUCAAGGUGUGGUCACCCAAAAUGUAUGGACUAAUAUUUCUCCAAAACACAGUGCACUUAAAAUCAAAUGCAUUUCAAAAUGAACCCUACUGCAGUUACACUGGAUUUGAAAUAAAUUGUCAUAAGUUCGGUUUGUACUGUUUUGAAUUUUGAAAUUUAUUUUUAUUUCAUUUUAUGAAUCAUUUUAAGGUUUAUUUAGUAUUUAAUGUUACCUACCUAUACAAUUUUGACCCUUCUGACGCGUUCAAAAAAAUCUGGACAUCAACUCUUCAAUUACAUAAAUGUAAACGGACAAGAGCUAGAGUCAGACCAAGCUAACUUGGCAGUGAUUUUCGACGUCAUAAUUGAAUAGAAGUUUGACGU